UACGUAGGGUGCAAGCGUUGUCCGGAAUUAUUGGGCGUAAAGAGCUCGUAGGCGGUCUGUCGCGUCUGCUGUGAAAACCUAGGGCUUAACUCUGGGCGUGCAGUGGGUACGGGCAGGCUAGAGUGCGGUAGGGGAGACUGGAAUUCCUGGUGUAGCGGUGAAAUGCGCAGAUAUCAGGAGGAACACCAGUGGCGAAAGCGGCUUCCUGGUCCAGCACCGACGUUCAGGCACGAAAGCGUGGGGAGCAAACAGG
rnacentral:rRNA from 1 species